UCCUGGUGCACACGUGAUGAGAGGGCAGGCCAUGAGUGAGGACGGCUCGUCGAGGGAUUUGGUGACGCCACUGAUCAAUUUCCACGUGAUGUGAUUAUGUUAAGGUACUAGAAGGUAAGAAGAACCCUUGGAUCCAACCAAAUCACAUACAAAUAUAGAAAAUUAAUAAUAGUUGUUAAGCAUGUAAAUGUAAAAGAUUGUAAAUAAUGGAGUUUCGCAAUUGUAUUCCAAAUGGGUUGUAAUUGAAUAAUAUGACCAUAUACAUUAAUUAUAUGAAUUGUAUUUUUAAUACGUUUGUGGAAUAAAGUUAUUAGACCUGAA